GGAGGAGGAGGAGAGAUGCGAGCCGUUGCACCUUCAGGGAGACAAAGCCGUUUUCCACCGCAGCCAAGAGACCUUGACAGGGAUGGUUGAGUUCUUAACUCUUUGGGGGCCUCUGGCUAGACCUUAAAUUUCCUGGUGCAACUUGACAGAGGUUUACCAGCACAGCGGCUGGGCCGAUAACUACAACACACACAAAAGUAUGAAAUAGGGAGAGUUCACGCAGCUGGACAACGCAAUGCCACAGCUAAUGAGGAGGGCUGCUCUGAGCCCCUGGGAAGGUGAAG